UCUUCCAUCUUUCAGCAGCCACCGGACGUAGGCCAGACUGGUAGAAACUUGAAGGACCCCAAUUUCCCAGUUAGGGGCGGGCGGCGAUCGCUGGGGCUAGAAAGUGGACAGUGGGGAAAUUAGGAAGCCCGCUUCCUUCCCCGACCCCUCCCUCCUCUUCCCACCACGGAAGGAAAUGGCUGCAUCCGUGUGUUACGAAAGCGAGAAAAGGCGAGCCGUCCCACCUCCGGGCCCCUAAGAAAAAGCCGAGCAGCUCUUCCCUCGAAAAAGAGGGAGUGGCUCAGUGACACGAGAGGAAGGAAAUGUUCCACAAUGCCUUCUCGGGCGGAAAGCCACAGGGACAAUGAUUGGAAUUGAGCCUCCAGGAGGUUAAUUGACUUGCCCAAGAUGUCAUAUCCAGAGUCAAACUGGGAGAUAAGAAAUAAAUCUGACUCUGUAAUUUUUAAACAAAUACCUCUUGGCAUUUUAGGAUCUCUAACAGUGCGGCAGCAGCAAUUAAAAAGACUCUGAAGUGAAAAAAAGAAAACUGAGAAAAAUUUCUACCACCAGAUGGUGCCAAAAGACAAAAUUGAAAACCAUUCUCAAAUGGCAAGUACAGGUAGAUUGCUUUAAGAGCCCUCAUGCUGAAAACAACUAAAAAUGCUGGAGGAAAUAUUUUUAAAAGUCUUUAUGAAUGCAUUUGUGAAC